GAUGAACGCUGGCGGCGUGCCUAAUACAUGCAAGUCGAGCGAACAGACGAGGAGCUUGCUCCUUUGACGUUAGCGGCGGACGGGUGGGUAACACGUGGAUCACCUACCUAUAAUACUUGGAUAAUUUCGGGAAACCGGAUCUACUACCGGCUAAUAUAUUGAACCGCUUGGUUCAAUAGUUAUAGACGGUUUUCCUGUCUCUUUUAGAUGAAUCCGCGUCGCAUUAGCUAGUUGGUAAGGUAACGGCUUACCAAGGCAACGAUGCGUAGCCGACCUGAGAGGGUGAUCGGCCACACUGGAACUGAGACACGGUCCAGACUCCUACGGGAGGCAGCAGUAGGGAAUCUUCCGCAAUGGGCGAAAGCCUGACGGAGCAACGCCGCGUGAGUGAUGAAGGUCUUCGGAUCGUAAAACUCUGUUAUUAGGGAAGAAAAAAUGUGUAAGUAACUAUGCACGUCUUGACGGUACCUAAUCAGAAAGCCACGGCUAACUACGUG
rnacentral:rRNA from 1 species